AUUGAACGCUGGCGGCAGGCCUAACACAUGCAAGUCGAACGGUAACAGGGAUCAGCUUGCUGAUUCGCUGACGAGUGGCGGACGGGUGGGUAAUGUCUGGGAAACUGCCUGAUGGAGGGGGAUAACUACUGGAAACGGUAGCUAAUACCGCAUAACGUCGCAAGACCAAAGAGGGGGACCUUCGGGCCUCUUGCCAUCGGAUGUGCCCAGAUGGGAUUAGCUAGUAGGUGGGGUAACGGCUCACCUAGGCGACGAUCCCUAGCUGGUCUGAGAGGAUGACCAGCCACACUGGAACUGAGACACGGUCCAGACUCCUACGGGAGGCAGCAGUGGGGAAUAUUGCACAAUGGGCGCAAGCCUGAUGCAGCCAUGCCGCGUGUAUGAAGAAGGCCUUCGGGUUGUAAAGUACUUUCAGCGGGGAGGAGGGGAGUAAAGUUAAUACCUUUGCUCAUUGACGUUACCCGCAGAAGAAGCACCGGCUAACUCCGUG
rnacentral:rRNA from 1 species